rnacentral:rRNA from 1 species
AUAGCUGGUUACUUGAUAAAAGAAUUUUAGUUCUACCUAAAGCCCAAAUAAAGUUCUAUAAACUAACAUUCAUGCUUUAGAGUUAUUCAAAUAAGGUACAGCCUAUUUGAAUAAGGAAACAACCUAAACUAAUGGGUAAAACAUCUACAGUGUAUUAAAGUGGGCCUAAAAGCAGCCACCUUCAAUAAAAGCGUCAAAGCUUCCCUACACAAGUUCAUUCAAUUUUAUAUCUUAACCUAAACCCUUUAUUUUCAUCAAGUAAUUCUAUACACCUAUAGAAUAUAAAAUGUUAAAACUAGUAACAAGAAGUAAACCCUUCUCUUAAAUGCAGGUGUAAGCCAGAAAGGAUAAACCACUGUCAAUUAACACCAAUGAUUUUCAAUUAACAACAUCACAAGAAAACCUUAAUAAAACUUAUGUUAAACUAACACAAGAGCAUUUCAAGAAAGAUUAAAAGAAAAAGAAGGAACUCGGCAAACACCAACCCCGCCUGUUUACCAAAAACAUCGCCUCUUGACAAAUAUAAGAGGUCCAGCCUGCCCAGUGACCUAGUUCAACGGCCGCGGUAUCCUAACCGUGCGAAGGUAGCGUAAUCACUUGUUCUUUAAAUGGGGACUAGUAUGAAUGGCAUCACGAGGGUUACACUGUCUCCUUUUUUUGAUCAGUGAAACUAAUCUUCCCGUGAAGAAGCGGGAAUAUCUUUAUAAGACGAGAAGACCCUAUGGAGCUUUAAACAAAUUAACACCUGCUGCCCGAGAUAGUUCUUUCAGAAAUAUAAAACAUAGCAUAGCAUGAUGAUUAAUAGUUUUUGAUUGGGGUGAUCACGGAGUAAAAAAUAACCUCCAUGCCGAAAGGGGUUUUACCCUGAGCAAAAAACCACAAUUUUAAGCACUAAAAAAUUAACGUUUAUUGACCCAGUAUAAUGAUCAACGAACCAAGUUACCCUAGGGAUAACAGCGCAAUCCACUUCAAGAGCUCCUAUCGACAAGUGGGUUUACGACCUCGAUGUUGGAUCAGGGUAUCCCAGUGGUGCAGCCGCUACUAACGGUUCGUUUGUUCAACGAUUAAAACCCU